rnacentral:tRNA from 1 species
GGGCCGAUAGCUCAGCUGGUUAGAGCACACGCCUGAUAAGCGUGAGGCCGGUGGUUCAAGUCCACUUCGGCCCA